rnacentral:rRNA from 1 species
AGAGUUUGAUCAUGGCUCAGGAUGAACGCUAGCGGCAGGCCUAAUACAUGCAAGACUAGGGGCAGCAAUGUCACCGUCGCACGGGUGCGUAACGCGUAUGCAACCUACCUAUCACAGGGAGAUAGCCUUUGGAAACAGGGAUUAAUACCGCAUGAUACUAUUGGAUAGCAUUAUUUAAUAGUUAAAGAUUUAUUGGUGAUAGAUGGGCAUGCGUCUGAUUAGUUAGAUGGUGGGGUAACGGCCUACCAUGACGAUGAUCAGUAGGGGGCGUCAGAGCGUGGUCCCCCACACUGGCACUGAGAUACGGGCCAGACUCCUACGGGAGGCAGCAGUAGGGAAUAUUGGGCAAUGGAUGCAAGUCUGACCCAGCCAUGCCGCGUGGAGGAAGAAGGUCCUCUGGAUUGUAAACUCCUUUUUUGGGGGAAGAAGAGACAUCUUGCGAGGUGUUGUGACGGUACCCUAAGAAUAAGCCACGGCUAACUACGUGCCAGCAGCCGCGGUAAUAC